AGCUCCAAUAGCGUAUAUUAAAGUUGUUGCAGUUAAAAAGCUCGUAGUUGGACUUGUGAAUGUGCUGGGGGCCAAUUUGCGCCAUCCGGGACGUUCAUUUUUGGGUGGAAGCUGCCGGGCAUUAGGUUGUUUGGUAGCGGACGUCCAUCUUUUACUGUGAGAAAAUUAGCGCGUUCAAAGCAAGCUUAUGCUGUUGAAUAUGUUAGCAUGGAAUAAUGAGAUAGGACCUCGGUACUAUUUUGUUGGUUUGUGCACUGAGGUAAUGGUUAAUAGGGAUUGUUGGGGGUAUUCGUAUUCCACUGUCAGAGGUGAAAUUCUUGGAUUUUUGGAAGACGAACUACUGCGAAAGCAUUUACCAAGGAUGUUUUCA
rnacentral:rRNA from 1 species